rnacentral:rRNA from 1 species
ACGAACGCUGGCGGCGUGCCUAAUACAUGCAAGUUGAGCGCUGAAGGUUGGUACUUGUACCAACUGGAUGAGCAGCGAACGGGUGAGUAACGCGUGGGGAAUCUGCCUUUGAGCGGGGGACAACCUUUGGAAACGAAUGCUAAUACCGCAUAAAAACUUUAAACACCAGUUUUAAGUUUGAAAGAUGCAAUUGCAUCACUCAAAGAUGAUCCCGCGUUGUAUUAGCUAGUUGGUGAGGUAAAGGCUCACCAAGGCGAUGAUACAUAGCCGACCUGAGAGGGUGAUCGGCCACAUUGGGACUGAGACACGGCCCAAACUCCUACGGGAGGCAGCAGUAGGGAAUCUUCGGCAAUGGACGAAAGUCUGACCGAGCAACGCCGCGUGAGUGAAGAAGGUUUUCGGAUCGUAAAACUCUGUUGGUAGAGAAGAACGUUGGUGAGAGUGGAAAGCUCAUCAAGUGACGGUAACUACCCAGAAAGGGACGGCUAACUACGUG